GACGGACCGUCCAAACGUUAUUCGGAAUCACUGGGCUUAAAGGGUGCGUAGGCUGUCCGGGAAGUUGGGUGUGAAAGCCCUCGGCUCAACCGAGGAAUUGCGCUCAAAACUGCCGGGCUAGAGGGAGACAUAGGUGAGCGGAACUUAGGGUGGAGCGGUGAAAUGCGUUGAGAUCCUAAGGAACACCAGUAGCGAAAGCGGCUCACUGGGUCUCUUCUGACGCUGAGUGCACGAAAGCUAGGGGA
rnacentral:rRNA from 1 species